rnacentral:rRNA from 1 species
UACGAAGGGGGCUAGCGUUGCUCGGAAUCACUGGGCGUAAAGGGUGCGUAGGCGGGUCUUUAAGUCAGGGGUGAAAUCCUGGAGCUCAACUCCAGAAAUGCCUUUGAUACUGAAGAUCUUGAGUUCGGGAGAGGUGAGUGGAACUGCGAGUGUAGAGGUGAAAUUCGUAGAUAUUCGCAAGAACACCAGUGGCGAAGGCGGCUCACUGGCCCGAUACUGACGCUGAGGCACGAAAGCGUGGGGAGCGAACAGG